rnacentral:rRNA from 1 species
AACGAACGCUGGCGGCGUGCCUAACACAUGCAAGUCGAACGAGACCUUCGGGUCUAGUGGCGCACGGGUGCGUAACGCGUGGGAACCUGCCUUUAGGUUCGGAAUAACUCAGAGAAAUUUGAGCUAAUACCGGAUAAUGUCUUCGGACCAAAGAUUUAUCGCCUUUAGAUGGGCCCGCGUAAGAUUAGCUAGUUGGUGGGGUAAAGGCCUACCAAGGCGACGAUCUUUAGCUGGUCUGAGAGGAUGAUCAGCCACACUGGGACUGAGACACGGCCCAGACUCCUACGGGAGGCAGCAGUGGGGAAUAUUGGACAAUGGGCGAAAGCCUGAUCCAGCAAUGCCGCGUGAGUGAUGAAGGCCUUAGGGUUGUAAAGCUCUUUUACCCGAGAUGAUAAUGACAGUAUCGGAG